rnacentral:rRNA from 1 species
GUAGUGGCGAAUGAAGAGGGAAAAGCUCAAGUUUGAAAUCUGGCGGGUGACCGUCCAGAGUUGUAAGCUGGAGAGGUGUCGUCCGACGCGGUCCAGGCUCAAUUUCCUUGGAACAGGAGGUCAUGGAGGGUGAGAACCCCGUACAUGGCUUGGGCGCCGCCGUCCUUGUGACGCAUCCUCUAAGAGUCGGGUUGUUUGGGAAUGCAGCUCAAAAUGGGUGGUAAAUUUCAUCUAAAGCUAAAUAUGGGCGAGAGACCGAUAGCAAACAAGUAGAGUGAUCGAAAGAUGAAAAGUACUUUGAAAAGAGAGUGAAACAGUACGUGAAAUUGUUGAAAGGGAAGCGUUUGGCAUCAGCCCAUGGCGGUGGUACGAACAUCCUUGCUUCGGCAUGGUGCACUCGUCCACCGUUGGGCCAGCGUCGGCUCUGCCUGCCAGAGAAAGGCCUUGGGGAAGUGGCUCUCCCUUCGGGGAGCGUGUUAUAACCCAUGGUGUCAUGUGGCUUUGGCGGGGCCGAGGUCCGCGGUUUUGUCCU